rnacentral:ncRNA from 1 species
UGGUUGGGACGACCCGACCGUACAAGCCGUGACAUCGGGACGACCCGA